GACGAACGCUGGCGGCGUGCCUAAUACAUGCAAGUGGGACGCAAGGGAACACACUGUGCUUGCACACCGUGUUUUCUUGAGUCGCGAACGGGUGAGUAACGCGUAGGUAACCUGCCUAUUAGCGGGGGAUAACUAUUGGAAACGAUAGCUAAUACCGCAUAAUAUUAAUUAUUGCAUGAUAAUUGAUUGAAAGAUGCAAGCGCAUCACUAGUAGAUGGACCUGCGUUGUAUUAGCUAGUUGGUAAGGUAAGAGCUUACCAAGGCGACGAUACAUAGCCGACCUGAGAGGGUGAUCGGCCACACUGGGACUGAGACACGGCCCAGACUCCUACGGGAGGCAGCAGUAGGGAAUCUUCGGCAAUGGACGAAAGUCUGACCGAGCAACGCCGCGUGAGUGAAGAAGGUUUUCGGAUCGUAAAGCUCUGUUGUAAGUCAAGAACGUGUGUGAGAGUGGAAAGUUCACACAGUGACGGUAGCUUACCAGAAAGGGACGGCUAA
rnacentral:rRNA from 1 species